AUACGGAGGGUGCGAGCGUUAAUCGGAAUUACUGGGCGUAAAGGGUGCGUAGGCGGCUUGAUAAGUCGGAUGUGAAAGCCCCGGGCUUAACCUGGGAAUUGCAUUCGAUACUGUCAGGCUAGAGUAUGUCAGAGGUUGGCGGAAUUCCUGGUGUAGCGGUGAAAUGCGUAGAUAUCAGGAGGAACACCAGUGGCGAAGGCGGCUAACUGGGACAAUACUGACGCUGAGGUACGAAAGCGUGGGUAGCAAACGGGAUUAGAAACCCUAGUAGUCC
rnacentral:rRNA from 1 species